ACAGUCCUGAUGUGUUCGUCUCAUUGCCUGUUGUUUUGACCGAACAGCUAUAUAUUAGGGAGCUUGAAGUUUUUAACUGGCGUAUAUGCCUUUCAUAAGGACGUACAAAUGUUAGAUUAGAGCACCCACCUGCCGAGAGCGGGUUCAAAACUUAGGAACUUAAGGACGGCACGAUUGGGACAUGU
rfam:Bacillus endophyticus strain Hbe603, complete genome.